AAAUUGAAGAGUUUGAUCAUGGCUCAGAUUGAACGCUGGCGGCAGGCCUAACACAUGCAAGUCGAACGGUAACAGGAAACAGCUUGCUGUUUCGCUGACGAGUGGCGGACGGGUGAGUAAUGUCUGGGAAACUGCCUGAUGGAGGGGGAUAACUACUGGAAACGGUAGCUAAUACCGCAUAACGUCGCAAGACCAAAGAGGGGGACCUUAGGGCCUCUUGCCAUCGGAUGUGCCCA
rnacentral:rRNA from 1 species